CUGUGUCUACAUCUUACAAAAGAGACACCUCAAGAAGCAUCUCUUCAAGAAGUUAUGACAAUUAACGGAAAAGGGCCACUAUGGCAGAUGUUGUUGUGGAUAUGCCAUGGCUUGCGCACAGGGACGUCACAAAGUUUGGGUACUCCAAGCCUUGAUUGUCUUCCUCACCCUGAUGAUGCUAGGCUUUAUUCUGACAUGACCCUACAGUGAGAUCUUAGAUAAAGCUACUCUAAUGCACACACAUGCCAAGACAAUGCCGAGUGUUUGGCAUGGCAUUACAGUGGCUGUAGAAUCCCACGCCAUAACUGCUGCUAAUAGAAAACAAAUAUCACAAACUCUUGCUGAAAAUCGUCAAGAAAAGAACCUACUUGAAAAGGGGCUGACUGUGGCGUUUGCUAAAUCGCCCAAGUCUGAAGCAAAGACUGUUCUUGGCCCGGCUUGAUCAGACUCCCGGUCACGAAUCAUGGAGCUAGAUGUUCCUUUUCCCACAUGAUCUGCCACAAAAUGAGCAACACAAUGAACUCUCCACAAUGCCCAAAUCAAGAAUGAAAUUGCUACUCUUUACCAAGGCUGUUGCUACCACCUCCAGUGCUAGCUGUAGCUGAGAGGAGAGACAUGGCCAGAAGAGAGGAGAGCCAUGGCAAUAACCUCGUGAGUACCAUAUCCUAAACAAAUGAAGUAAAAAUUUUCUUAAGUGUUCA
rnacentral:lncRNA from 1 species